rnacentral:lncRNA from 1 species
GUGACUCAGCUUCCCUGCUUGUGCAAGAACAGCUGAACUCUGACCUCCUGAAUGGCCGACUCUUGCCUUGCUCCUCAGGGACCCCAGACACGAUCGUAGGAACCGGAGGUACUACUGCCCUAAGCCAUAGCGCUUGACAUUAUCCAUUUAUUCAGCAGUUUCAAGUCGCGGCAAGCGGCGUUUGACCACUUCUGUUCCCUGCCCAGUGCUUAACUGGUACCUGGUGCCGGCCUGAUGGAGGCUCUGAAGGCUUUCCCUCAGAAAGCUGGACCCGCCCUGGGAAGCAGGUCCUAACCCCCCUUCACAGUCGAGCACAAGACCGCUUCAUUCACACUGCAGGAGCCAGCCCUGCUGUCAGACUGACGGUGCCAAACCCCCUUCUCCAAUGCUGCCCCCAAAAGGAACCAGGGAUCCAUUAUCCUGAUCAUGUCAAACGGCACCACGGUGAAUACGAGUCUUGGAAGCCAGACACUCUGGGUUCACAUGCCCCCUGGGCCCGCCCUUACGGUCUCUGCCUCAGUUUCCCCAUCGUAAGAAUGAUGUAGGUACCUCAAAGUGUUGUUACAACGAUUAAGUAAAUCUUAAGAUACAUUUGAAACUUGAACACGGGUUUCAAUUGUGCAGGUGCACUUAAACGUGGACUUUUUUUCUACCUCUGCCACCCCUGAGACACCAAGACCAACCCCCUCCUCUUCCUCAACACAGAGACCAGGAUGAAGAUCUUUAUUUAUGAUGAUCCACUUUCACUGAAUAAUUUUUUUUUUUUUGAGACGGAGUCUCACUCUGUCCCCCAGGCUGGAGUGCGGUGGUGCAAUCUUGGCUCACUGCAACCUCCGCCUCUUGGGUUCAAGUGAUUCUCCCACCUCAGCCUCCUGAGUAGCUGGGACUACAGUCGCCUGCCACCAUGCCAGGCUAAUUUUUGUAUUUUUAGUAGAGUCGGGGUUUCACCAUAUUGGCCAGGCUGGUCUCGAACUCCUGACUUUGUGAUCCGCCUGCCUCUCUCGGCUUACUGCAAGCUCUGCCUCCCGGGUUCAGGCCAUUCUCCUGCCUCAGCCUCCCGAGUAGCUGAGACUACAGGCGCCUGCCAUCAUGCCCGGCUAAUUUUUUGUAUUUUUAGUAGAAACGGGGGUUUCACCAUGUUAGCCAGGAUGGUCUCGAUCUCCUGACCUCCUGAUCUGCCCAUCUUGGCCUCCCAAAAUGCUGGGAUUACAGGCAUGAGCCACCAUGCCUGGCUCUUAGGAUUUUCUUAAUUACAUUUUCUCUAGCUUACUCUAUGGUAGACAGUGUAGUACGUAUAACAUACAAGAUGUUUUGACUGUUUAUGUUAUCAGGUAAGGCUUCUGGUCAACAGCAGACUAUUAGUUGUUUUGCGGGACUGAAAAGUUAUACAGAUUUUCGACCAUGAUGGGUUGGUGCCCCUAAUCCCUGUGUUGUUCAAGGGUCAGUUGCACUAGCAUAAUGCUAGUCACGUGAAAUACAGUCAGUGCACACUGGGGUCUCAGCAGGGCUGGUUUUCCCCUUGGAACCCUCUCUCUUGUCGCAGUCAUGGGAGACUGAGGCACAGAAACAGAAUCUAAUAAAGCAGGGUAGAACUUGGGUUCUAGAGCAGUUUCCUAAUAAUCCACCCCAAACCAGGUGAGGCUGGCAUCUAGCCCACUCGGGGCCCUGCCCAACCACCCACACCCCCUCCCCAGCAUGCAGGCCCAAUCCUUGCCCGGCCUGGUGCCAUUUUUCCAUGGGACUCUGAUGGUGGCGGUUCACAUCUGGAGUCUAGACUCGCAGGCUCUGCGGGCCAGGCCUACCGCCUGGGCUGGGCCACCACUGCCCGCUGUUUGCUCAGCUGAAGCUGGUUAAUUGGAAUUACAGUGGCCUCUGCGGUGCCGGCUGGCCGGGCGGGCCCUAGUCCGCUGCUCCGGAGGUCUGUGGAACAUCUGGCUGGACCAGGACAGUCAUUAGGUGGCAGGCGCUCGGCGCCACUGCCACCUCAGCCUCUGCCGGGGGCUGGUGGUGACUCAAUAAGGCCUUUGUGCGCCCUGGGCCGCAGAGCCAACCAUGCUAUGUGCCUGGGCCGCCUGCCCCAUCUGCCUCAGAGGGGCCUUGUUCCAGGACCACAUGGCCUCAGAGUUGGCUGGAGUGGGUAGAGAUUCCAGAAGCCCCUGAAAGGGAACCCCCCUCCCUGAAAGGAAGAAGCCUUUUGAAAUUUUCUACCCCUUUUCCUUCCUAUAGAACCCUGGAGCCAGUAAAAUUGGGUGGCUGGGGCUCAGGGAUGCCCAGCACACCAGCCAGUGACUUGGUCCCAGGGGUCUGGGGAGGAGCUGCGGUCCUUAGGAACCUGGAAUUGUUUGGCUUGGCUAAGGUCAAAUCGAUGUCCAUGGGCAAGCUGCCUCAAUUCCCUCAUCUGCACAGCGGAGCGAAUAAUAGCACAUACAGCCCAAGACUCAGAAGGAAGUGAAAUCCUAUAUCAAGGUGCUUAGUGCAUGUCAAUACCUAGUGAGGGUAUUACAGUCAUACUCCUGAGUCUCUGGUCAUGAUUGUCCUUUGGCCACUUCCAAACUGGAAGCCACUGUUAUUUUCAGCCUUUGAACCUGAAGCUUGGGCAAGGGAGAGCCCCGGGUCUGUCAGUAUGGUGGCCACCCGCUCCUGUCUGUUUCCCCACUCAGUGACCUCAUACCAGGUGGGUGGAUGAGGGUUGUGGCCACCGUUUGCCUGGUUUGGGGUGGUGCCCGGUCGGUCUCCUGCUGGCCGGGGCUGCUGUCUUCAGCAAACUUUAGGGAAACCCGGGCGCUGAGAUUUCAGCUCUUAGGCCCCAGAAGGCCUCUAAGAAUCACUAGCUCAGUCCUUCCCCACCCCAGCCUCUAGAGGUCCUGGCCCUUGUGCCAUGACUGGCCCCACAGUAGUCAUUUUGGGAAGAAACCCAGGAAUGGGCAGAAUGGGAGACAAAGCCUUGAUCUUCAGGGCAACCUAGAGUCUGAGCCCUCAUCAGCCGAAGCCAUAUGGGCACAGGGACCAGGGAGGCUGGCAGGUUCUACAGUUACUGCUUCCCUUGUGAGUCAGGUCAGCCCUGGGUACUCCCCACCACUCUCACCAUGGUGAGUGGGAGACUCUCAUCUGCCAACACCCUUGCUGCCCCCAAGUAUUUCGAGGAAGGUGGUGAGAAAAGUGCUAGCUGGUGAGAGAGGGCUCGUGGGCCCCCUCUACUGGCUAAAAGGUGUUUUACGGGUGCAGGGCUGGCCAGGCACUGGGGUGGGCACCCUUAAGGGGCUUGCAGAAAAGAUUUUGGGUGGGCAGGUGAGACCUAGAAAACCCAGGGCAAGACACUGGGUGCUUAAACAGAGAAUCUUCCAGGAGCACAGUGGCCCGCCCUGGCCAUGGGAUGAGUUUUUAAUGUGAGGCAAAAUCAGUCCACAAUACAAAAUCUAAAAAUCACACCCACUUUUCCCACCUGGCUCCCGGGGAGGGGGGAAGCUGGGGGUUUCUUUUGCCUGCAGGGUGUGGGGAGGAGCAGAGGAGGGCCAAGAAAGGGAGAAGGAAACAGAGGCCACAGAGGCCUGGCUGGAGGUAUCCUGCUGCCCCCUGCCCUGUCCUGGAGCUGCCCUUGGCCUCCUGUGCCCUCUACCGGUGCACGCCUGUGUGGGCCCAGCCCCCAUCUGUCUGGUCUGGCCCUGAGAGGCUCGGGCACCAGCUGCAUCAUUUCUCUUUCUUCUCCAGCCCCUUCGAUGCUGAUGCCUCUGUUCCCUCUUUGGAUUCUGUCACUGCCGCUGGAUCCUUAGGAUUUGACUCCUCAUAACUGACCAAAAAAAAAAAAACAACAAUAAAAAUUCAUUUAGAGGAGAGGGUGAGCAGAACCUUGGUUGUCCCCUUCCCCCACCCCCAUCCUAGGAAAGCGCCUGGUCACAUGCAGAGCGUCAGCCCUGUGUCCACUGCCCAGCACCUAACAGCGCCUGGCCCCAGCCCUACCACAUGCCCUCCUCAGGCAGGCUGCUCUGCUUUCUCUGAGCCUGGGGGUACCAGGAGGCAGCAAGGGCAGCAGCCAAUGGAAGAGAGGUUGGGCCUGGGCUUGUGUGGGCUGAUUUCAAGCUUCCUGAACCUUCUGCUGUAGCGUGGAAAAAGGGGUGGCCAUGACAAGGCUACAAGAGAUGGAGAUAGGCUGCCUCCCAGGGCACACAGCAUGAAUCAAACAGCUCAGCCCCAGAGGUGAGGGCACUGCUGUACUGGCAAGCGGCAAGGUGCUGCUCUGAAGACAGACACCCUGGCUUAGCUUCUUCUAUGGGCUUCAUUUUUCAAGCAACUGAGUUCAUGCCAAAGAUAAUACAAAUCUUUCCUCACCAGAUAAACCCCGUGAGGCAGGAAUGUGCCCACUUACAGAUGAAGAAAGUAACUUGCCUAAGGUUAUACAUAUACCUUGAAUGGUAACAGUAUCUACUACUGCAUGACAAGGGCCAUUUCCAUCCACUAUGAUGUGGGCCCCGCAUUACUGGUGAGGGCAGGAAGCUUCGGGGUUGUCCUGCUUCCCAGCCCUAUGGCUCGGUGCAACCACUGCCUGGUGGUUGUGGAGGAGCUGCUCUUGCGGCCUACUCCUGGCAAUGGUCCCUGCCCUAUGCACUGGAGCUGCAGUGUCUGCCCUACCUUGGGCCCCGGGGCAGUAGGGGGAAGCGGGCAGGUGGGCACCCGCUGGGCAUUACAUGGCGCUGGGAUUCUGCGGGCGCCGGCGGCGAGGGCCAGCUAGCUUCUGCUGCAUGGAGUCGGCCAGGCUGGCUGGGGAGCCCGAGACUGUGGGGAAGUGGGUGAGCCUCGGGGUAUGAGGCAGGAUUUCCGCCGAGGACUCGUAGCUGUGUGAGAGAGAGAGAAGAGACAGAAAAAAAGAGAUGGAUAGGGAAAGACUAAGGGAGGACAGAGACUUCCUUUCCAAGGAGCAGAGAGCAGAACUGUCUUGUUUUUACCUAUUUUUGCACUUCCAGAUUUUAUGGAAAGAAGCUGAUAUUAUUUGGAGAAUGAAAAAAGAAAGAUGCACCUAGACAAAGGCACAUCAGGCCACUGUGCAGAAGAACAAGCAUGCUCUAGAAGUGUAUGUGCUGCUGUGGAAACACCUCUAAGAAAUACCGUAGAAACCCAAUGUGCAGAAUGCUCCAAGAAUGCCACCGUCUGUGCAAGAAAAAGUAUACACACAUCAGUGCACAGGUGUCUGAAUGUCUGUGUAACACUGCUGGCCUCUGUGGGGUAGCUGGAGCAUGAGGGUGCUCUCUCUGUUACAGCUUUGGAAUUUUUAACUAUGUGAAUGUGGUACCAAUAUAAAAAUAAGUAAAUCAAUAAAAAAAGGAGGAGAAUAGAAGGGAAAAGUAAAAAGGUGGAGAAUUGGGAGAGAAAUGGGGAGAAAGGAGGGAGAGAGAGAGAGAGAGAGAUCACUUGCUUUUUACCCCAAUCUAAGAAUGUCCAGGGUGGGAGUGGAGGGCAAACAGUGGGGGCAGGGUACCUGUAUGGCAGAGCAUUUAGCACCAAGCAGGUAAAGGCCAGGGGCACCCUCUGCCUUGUGUAUUCAGAGCUUUGCCUGAUGAGGGCACAAUAGCAUUGGGUGGUUACCCCAAGGGGAGGGGCAGGGAAACCUGGGCUGGAUGGGAAGCAGAGGGAGGGUGAAGGAUGGGUGCUAAGCUCAGGGAUCGGGUGCCAUGCCUGCUCCCAAAGCUCCCUGAGACCUGUCCCCAAGUUCACCCCUAGCCCCCACUUGCCUCAGACCACAGAGCUUUGCUGGGCGAGGCAAUGUGGGCAGGCAGGCGGGGGGCUGGGGAUUCUAGACAGGACAGGGAGGGCAGAGGCAGGUCCGGGGGAGGGGUGAGUCACAGGCUCCCCUGCGGGGAGCCAGGUGCACAGGAGGCCCUGGCAAGCGCUCUAGGGACAGCUUGGAGGCCAGGCAGGUGGAACUGGGCGGAAGGCACCCGAGUAGGCAGCUUUAAUCGCAACUGACAGCUAUUUCUAGGUCCCUGGCAGGCAGGGUCGGCAGUGCUGGGGGCAGACACCUGUUGGAGUCACGCAGGCCUUGCGGUAUGGGUGGGGCUGUGUGCAGGGUGUGGUAGGUGUGGAUAUGGCCCUGGGGAAGGGGUAUCUGUGUGAGAUACAGAUAUAGAGAAAGCAGUGAGCUGUGGGUUAAAGCCACAGAGGUGAAUGAACAGGGACUGA